GAUGAACGCUGGCGGCGUGCCUAAUACAUGCAAGUCGAGCGAACGGACGAGAAGCUUGCUUCUCUGAUGUUAGCGGCGGACGGGUGAGUAACACGUGGAUAACCUACCUAUAAGACUGGGAUAACUUCGGGAAACCGGAGCUAAUACCGGAUAAUAUUUUGAACCGCAUGGUUCAAAAGUGAAAGACGGUCUUGCUGUCACUUAUAGAUGGAUCCGCGCUGCAUUAGCUAGUUGGUAAGGUAACGGCUUACCAAGGCAACGAUGCAUAGCCGACCUGAGAGGGUGAUCGGCCAAACUGGAACUGAGACACGGUCCAGACUCCUACGGGAGGCAGCAGUAGGGAAUCUUCCGCAAUGGGCGAAAGCCUGACGGAGCAACGCCGCGGGAGUGAUGAAGGUCUUCGGAUCGUAAAACUCUGUUAUUAGGGAAGAACAUAUGUGUAAGUAACUGUGCACAUCUUGACGGUACCUAAUCAGAAAGCCACGGCUAACUACGU
rnacentral:rRNA from 1 species